CACGUAGGGGACGAGCGUUGUCCGGAUUCAUUGGGCGUAAAGCGCGCGUAGGCGGCCCUGUAAGUCCGCUGUGAAAGUCAAAGGCUCAACCUUUGAAAGCCGGUGGAUACUGCAGGGCUAGAGUCCGGAAGAGGCGAGUGGAAUUCCUGGUGUAGCGGUGGAAUGCGCAGAUAUCUGGAGGAAUACCGGUGGCGAAGGCGGCAUCCUGGACCGGCAUUGACGCUGAGGAGCGAAAGCUAGGGAGCAACGGGGAGUUAAAGCAUAUCC
rnacentral:rRNA from 1 species